rnacentral:lncRNA from 1 species
CAAAGAACUAAAUCUAAAGCUCUACAUUAAGUGUUGCAUUGUGAGCUUGGAUAAAUGCUCUGCUUCUGCUUCUGUGAGCUGGAGGUGGCCUGUGCCAUUGUUGGUCUGGUGUGAAGGGGUCACCUACCAGCCCGCUUUACAAGAUGGGCAAUGAGAACAGCACUUCGGAGCUUCCGGAGGGCGCUCCAGAUAAAGUGGUGCUAUUUCCUCCAGAAGAAGCACAGUCUGACAUGGUAAAGGAGGCUGCAGUACACACUGACAAGGCGAGCACACUGAAGGAGAAGUCUGCCACUGCAGAGAACGGAUCUGUCCACACUGAUUCAGUCAAAGCUGAGCCACAGGUGUCUGCUGACGAGGAAGAAAGCUGAGAAGACCGGAAGAGGAGGAUAAGAGGGAGCUAGAGUUUCCUCAUGACCUGCUGCCC